CCUACGGGUGGCAGCAGUGAGGAAUAUUGGUCAAUGGACGAGAGUCUGAACCAGCCAAGCCGCGUGAAGGAUGACUGCCCUAUGGGUUGUAAACUUCUUUUAUAUGGGAAUAAAAUGUUCUACGUGUGUGAGUUUGUAUGUACCAUAUGAAUAAGGAUCGGCUAACUCCGUGCCAGCAGCCGCGGUAAUACGGAGGAUCCGAGCGUUCUCCGGAUUUAUUGGGUUUAAAGGGAGCGUAGGUGGAUUGUUAAGUCAGUUGUGAAAGUUUGGGGCUCAACCGUAAAAUUGCAGUUGAAACUGGCAGUCUUGAGUACAGUAGAGGUGGGCGGAAUGCGUGGUGUAGCGGUGAAAUGCUUAGAUAUCACGAAGAACACCGAUUGCGAAGGCAGCUUACUAAACUGCAACUGACGUUGAGGCUCGAAAGUGUGGGUAUCAAACAGGAUUAGAUACCCUAGUAGUC
rnacentral:rRNA from 1 species